GGCCUCGUAGCUCAGCCGGUAGAGCAUGCGCGUACCAAGCGUAGGUGGCGUCCAUACGUGGGUUAGAAACCCACCAAAGCUA
rnacentral:tRNA from 1 species